rnacentral:rRNA from 1 species
CACUAUGCUUAGCCUUAAACCUAAAUAAUUUUAUAACAAAAUUAUUCGCCAGAGAACUACAAGCCAGAGCUUAAAACUCAAAGGACUUGGCGGUGCUUUAUACCCGCCUAGAGGAGCCUGUUCUAUAAUCGAUAAACCCCGAUAAACCUUACCACUCUUUGCCAACUCAGCCUAUAUACCGCCAUCUUCAGCAAACCCUAAAAAGGAGCAAAAGUAAGCUCAAUCAUCACCAUAAAAACGUUAGGUCAAGGUGUAGCCUAUAGAGUGGGAAGCAAUGGGCUACAUUUUCUACUUUAGAAUACACGAAAGCCCCUAUGAAACUCUAGAGACCAAAGGAGGAUUUAGCAGUAAAUUAAGAAUAGAGUGCUUAAUUGAACGAGGCCAUGAAGCACGC